AAGGUUCUUGUUUCGCAUUAAACAACGGGUUGUGGUCAAAUAUACCAAGGAAUUAUUUUUGUUGAAGCAACGGGUUGAGGUCUCCCAACCAAACCUGAUCGUGGGCGUUCUUAGGUUUCCCUAUUGUUUGACGGGUCUUGUUAUUCUUGACGGGGUUCCCAUCAUUUGGUAUCAGAGCCAAGGAUUUCUCAUCCCAGGUUUGCCUAUCCCAUUUAAAUUUAGUUUCCUUUUUCUUAUCUGGCCGAAUCUGUUGUGGCCGAAUUGGUUUUAGCCCUAAGUUUGAAUUUUGUUGUUUCCUUGUGUCUUAAUUUCGUGUUCUUUAGCUUUCCAAAUUCGGUUUGACAUAUCAUAGUUUAGCCGAAUUUCUUUCUUUACCCAUUCCGAUCGUAAUCUGUUUGUUCUAAUUUUAAUUCGAAAUCUUGUUCUGUUAUUAACGAAUGAAAGAAUCUGAUCAUCAAAAAAAAAAGAGUAAAAAGACUCGACAAAAAAAUUUUCGUUUGAUUUCAUCCAUUUUGGUUCCAAUAAGCCGAAAAUCAUCUCACCCCAAAGACCAAAAAAAUUUUCGUGGAAAUUUUGCUGAAUUGUGCUUAUGAAAAUCUAAUCACCCAUAUCCCUUGUUUUCUUACUUUUGAACUUGAAUUCCCUUGGUGAGUUCUUGGUGAAUUGUUGCUGGAAAGAGGAUUAUCGAGUGAAAAAAAGGCAAGAGUGGAAUCAUGUCUCACAAUAGUGCCGAAGGUGCUACAGGAGUGGCUGAUCCAAAGCUAUUUAUGGAGGCGAUGAUGGAUGAGAUGAGGCG
rnacentral:lncRNA from 1 species